rnacentral:siRNA from 1 species
GAAGGUUGCUCUAGUCAUGGUUCC